rnacentral:tRNA from 1 species
CCCGACUUAGCUCAGACUGGCAAGAGCGGCUGACUGUAGUAUGGAAAUCGGCACGACCGAUCUCAGUCGCUGAAAUCAGCAGGCCCCCGGUUCAAAUCCGGGAGUCGGGA